rnacentral:rRNA from 1 species
UACAGAGGUCUCAAGCGUUUGUUCGGAUUCAUUGGGCGUAAAGAGCUCGUAGGCGGUUCGACAAGUCGGGUGUGAAAACUCCGGGCUCAACCCGGAGACGCCACCCGAUACUGUCGUGACUGGAGUUCGGUAGGGGAGACUGGAAUUCCUGGUGUAGCGGUGAAAUGCGCAGAUAUCAGGAGGAACACCGGUGGCGAAGGCGGGUCUCUGGGCCGAAACUGACGCUGAGGAGCGAAAGCGUGGGGAGCAAACAGG